AGAGUUUGAUCAUGGCUCAGGAUGAACGCUAGCGGCAGGCUUAACACAUGCAAGUCGAGGGGCAGCACGGGUAGCAAUACCUGGUGGCGACCGGCGCAAGGGUGCGUAACGCGUGAGCAACAUGCCCUAUACAGGGGGAUAAUCCAGGGAAACUUGGUCUAAUAUCCCAUAGUAUUUAGAGGAGGCAUCUUCUAUAAAUUAAAGCUUCGGUGGUAUAGGAUUGGCUCGCGUGACAUUAGCUAGAUGGUGAGGUAACGGCUCACCAUGGCAAUGAUGUCUAGGGGUUCUGAGAGGAAGGCCCCCCACACUGGGACUGAGACACGGCCCAGACUCCUACGGGAGGCAGCAGUGAGGAAUAUUGGACAAUGGAUGGAAAUCUGAUCCAGCCAUGCCGCGUGCAGGAAGACAGCCCUAUGGGUUGUAAACUGCUUUUAUAUGGGAGCAAUAAGGUCUACGUGUAGACUGAUGAGAGUACCAUAUGAAUAAGCAUCGGCUAACUCCGUGCCAGCAGCCGCGGUAAUACGGAGGAUGCGAGCGUUAU
rnacentral:rRNA from 1 species